UGCCCACUGAUUUUUAUUAAAGGGCUGCAGUAUUUUGACUGUACAAAGGUAGCAUAAUCAUUAGUCAUUUAAUUGAUGACUUGUAUGAAUGAUUGGAUGAAAUAUUAACUGUCUAAUUAUUUAUUAAUAGAAUUUAAUUUUUUAGUUAAAAAGCUAAAAUUUUUUAAAAAGACGAGAAGACCCUUUAGAGUUUUAUUAUUAUUUUUAAUUAAGGUUAUUUAUAUAGAUAAUUACUUAAUUUUAUUUAAUAAUUUUGUUGGGGUGAUAGAAAAAUUAAUAAAACUUUUUUUUUUGUUAAACAUUGAUAAGUGAAUAAUUGAUCCAAUUAUAUUGAUUAUAAGAAAAAAUUACCUUAGGGAUAACAGCGUAAUUUUAUUUUUUAGUUCAAAUAAAAAAUAGAGUUUGCGACCUCGAUGUUGGAUUAAGAUAAAAUUUAAAUGUAGAAGUUUAAAGUUUUGA
rnacentral:rRNA from 1 species